CUACGGGGUGCUGCAGUUAGGAAUAUUCUGCAAUGCGCGCAAGCGUGACAGAUUGAACCAGAGUGUUUUUCAAAUGAAAGACUUUUGUGAAAUGUAAAAAGUUUUACGAAUAAGGACUGGGUAAGACGAGUGCCAGCCGCCGCGGUAAUACUCGCGGUCCAAGUCGCAGCCAUUUUUAUUGGGUCUAAAACAUCCGUAGCUUGCUUGAUAAGUUUCUUGUGAAAUUUUAUAUCUCAAAUAUGAAGCGUGCAAGAAGUACUGUCAAGCUAGAGACUGGAAGACGUAAGAAGUAUGUUUGGAGUAGCGGUAAAAUGUGUUAAUCCCAGACAGACUAACAACAGCGAAGGCAUCUUACGAGGACAGUUCUGACAGUAAGGGUUGAAAGCUAGGGGCGCAAAACGGAUUAGAUACCCCCGUAGUC
rnacentral:rRNA from 1 species